rfam:Enterococcus cecorum DSM 20682 = ATCC 43198 genomic scaffold adfme-supercont2.1, whole genome shotgun sequence.
UGAGUGUUAUGAUGUUGGAAGUGCUACUACUUUCCGAGUCUAGCUCGUCGCUACCCUCUGGUGAGUUGUCAUCAGAGG